GAUGAACGCUGGCGGCGUGCCUAAUACAUGCAAGUCGAGCGAACAGACGAGGAGCUUGCUCCUCUGACGUUAGCGGCGGACGGGUGAGUAACACGUGGAUAACCUACCUAUAAGACUGGGAUAACUUCGGGAAACCGGAGCUAAUACCGGAUAAUAUAUUGAACCGCAUGGUUCAAUAGUGAAAGACGGUUUUGCUGUCACUUAUAGAUGGAUCCGCGCCGCAUUAGCUAGUUGGUAAGGUAACGGCUUACCAAGGCAACGAUGCGUAGCCGACCUGAGAGGGGGAGCGGACACACGGGAACGGAGAAACGGCCCAGAACCCUACGGGGGGCAGCAGGAGGGAAUCUGCGGAAAGGGGCGAAAGCCUGAGGGAGAAACGCCGGGGGAGUGAGGAAGGUUUUCGGAUCGUAAAACUCUGUUAUUAGGGAAAAAAAAAUGGGUAAGUAAAGAGGCAGGUCUUGACGUUACCUAAUCAGAAAGCCACGGCUAACUACGU
rnacentral:rRNA from 1 species